GACCCCGCACAAGCGGCGGAGCAUGCGGCUUAAUUCGAUGAUACCCGUAGAACCUUACCUGGACUUGACAUAUAGGGAAAAGCUAAAGAAAUUUUAGUUGCGUAAGCGCCCUAUACAGGUGGUGCAUGGCUGUCGUCAGCUCGUGUCGUGAGAUGUUGGUUAAGUCCCGUAACGAGCGCAACCCUUGUCCUUAGUUGCCAGCACUUCGGGUGGGAACUCUAAGGAGACUGCCGGUGACAAACCGGAGGAAGGUGGGGAUGACGUCAAAUCAUCAUGCCCCUUAUGUCUUGGGCUUCACGCAUGCUACAAUGGCCGGUACAGAGGGCUGCAAUACCGCAAGGUGGAGCGAA
rnacentral:rRNA from 1 species